rnacentral:rRNA from 1 species
CGAAGGGGACUAGCGUUGUUCGGAAUUACUGGGCGUAAAGCGCACGUAGGCGGAUUUGUAAGUCAGGGGUGAAAUCCCGGGGCUCAACCUCGGAACUGCCUUUGAUACUGCGAGUCUCGAGUCCGAUAGAGGUGGGUGGAAUUCCUAGUGUAGAGGUGAAAUUCGUAGAUAUUAGAGAACACCGUGCGAAGCGCCACUGGAUCGGUACUGACGCUGAGGUGCGAAAAGCGUGGGGAGCAAAACAGGAUU